rnacentral:rRNA from 1 species
CCUACGGGAGGCAGCAGUGGGGAAUAUUGCUCAAUGGGGGAAACCCUGAAGCAGCAACGCCGCGUGGAGGAUGAAGGUUUUCGGAUUGUAAACCCCUUUUGUUAGAGAAGAUAAUGACGGUACUUAACCAAUAAGCACCGGCCAAAUCCGUGCCAGAAGCCGCGGUAAUACGGCGGGGGCAAGCGUUAUGCGGAAUCACUGGGCGUAAAGGGCGCGUAGGCGGGAUAGCAAGUCAGAUGUGAAAUCCUGUGGCUUAACCAUAGAACUGCAUUUGAAACUGGUAGUCUAGAGUAUGGGAGAGGUAGGUGGAAUUCGUGGUGUAGGGGUAAAAUCCGUAGAGAUCGAGAGGAAUACUCAUUGCGAAGGCGACCUGCUAGAACAAAACUGACGCUGAUGCGCGAAAGCGUGGGGAGCAAACAGGAUUAGAUACCCGGGUAGUC